rnacentral:rRNA from 1 species
AGCGAACGCUGGCGGCAGGCUUAAUACAUGCAAGUCGAGCGCCCGUAGCAAUACGGGAGCGGCAGACGGGUGAGUAACGCGUGGGAACGUGCCCUUCGGUUCGGAAUAACUCAGGGAAACUUGAGCUAAUACCGGAUACGUCCGUAAGGAGAAAGAUUUAUCGCCGAAGGAUCGGCCCGCGUCGGAUUAGCUAGUUGGUGAGGUAACGGCCCACCAAGGCGACGAUCCGUAGCUGGUCUGAGAGGAUGAUCAGCCACACUGGGACUGAGACACGGCCCAGACUCCUACGGGAGGCAGCAGUGGGGAAUAUUGGACAAUGGGCGAAAGCCUGAUCCAGCCAUGCCGCGUGAGUGAAGAAGGCCUUAGGGUUGUAAAGCUCUUUU